GCGCCUGUAGCUAAGCGGAUUAGCCAGAGCCUUCUAAGCUCUAUUAUGCGGGUUCGAUUCCCCCCCCAGGCGCCCCA
rnacentral:tRNA from 1 species